rnacentral:rRNA from 1 species
CACGUAGGGUGCGAGCGUUGUCCGGAAUUAUUGGGCGUAAAGAGCUCGUAGGCGGUGUGUCGCGUCGGCCGUGAAAACCUGCAGCUUAACUGUGGGCGUGCGGUCGAUACGGGCAUCACUGGAGUUCGGCAGGGGAGACUGGAAUUCCUGGUGUAGCGGUGAAAUGCGUAGAUAUCUGGAGGAACACCGGUGGCGAAGGCGGCAUCCUGGACCAAUACUGACACUGAGGAGCGAAAGCCAGGGGAGCAAACGGG